CCAGUUUAGUAUAAAGCUGCCAUUUUUGGAAAUUACCAAAAAUAAUUUCAGUUCCAUUUCUGGAAACCGAACUCUCUCUCUCUUGCGCGCGUCCGAGCCCAGAAAAAACAGAGCAAAGCUCUCCGGCCGAGUUCUCCCUCCUCCGGCCACCAAUCGACACCAGACCACCUCCCUUGCCUUCGCCUCGACGCCGCCUACCUGCUAGACGUGAUCACUUCCACCGGAACGGCCUCAAAUCCGGCAGUCGGAGCCGCAAACUUUGAAACAAAAAUCGGUCAACGCCGGUUUUCUCCUAGCUCCGGCCACCAAAACUCACGAUCCUUAGCUCCCUGAACUCGCCUCAACCUUCUGAUCAUCAUUCUAGAAGGAUCGCACCUGGAGUGAUCGGAUUCACGUUCGUCGGAGCUCGCCGGAUUCUGGAAAUUUUCCACCACCACCGAAGCUUUUGAUAGAAGGAAUCGAAGCCUGAAAUUGAAGUUUUGACGUCGAAAUCAAGCCUUGCCGGAUUCUGCAAAAUUCUGGAAUUUUUCCGACCACCGAAGCUUUCGAUCGGUAUAUCUCGAGCUACAGACCAUAUUUUUCUGUGAUUCUUGAACCAGUGAGUUCUUCUUGAGUUUCUUAACAACUCUUCAGAAGGAAUCGAAGCCUUAAAUUGACGUUUUUACGUCGAAUUGGAGCUCGCCGUUUUCUGCAGUUUCUCGCCGGUUUCUGGAAAAUUCCGGCCACCUUCAUACUGUUCAAGGUGAUCGACGGUUUGAUUUGGCGGACGAUUCGUGAAAUUGUAUUUUGAGCUGUUAAGAAGACGCAGCGGGAAUUUAGAGCGGGAAAUCCUACAGGUCAGGAGAACCAGGACGGUGAUCGGGCUGCUUAGAGUAGUGUUAUGUGAAUUACAGCAUUAUAUUGUGAGGUUUGUUAUGCUCAUUUAGAGCUUUGCAAUUUUACUUUGUAAGAGUGAAUUGUAAUAAUUAACUCGAGGUUUUCGAAUUUUUGUGUUGAGUGGCGAGUGGUGUGUUUGUUUGUG